GACGAACCGUGCGAACGUUGUUCGGAAUCACUGGGCUUAAAGGGCGCGUAGGCGGGCAAGCAAGUCGAAGGUGAAAUCCCACGGCUCAACCGUGGAAGUGCCCCCGAUACUGCUUGUCUUGAGGGAGAUAGGGGCGUGCGGAACUUCCGGUGGAGCGGUGAAAUGCGUAGAUAUCAGGAAGAACACCCGUGGCGAAGGCGGCUCUCUGGGACGGUACUGACGCUGAGACGCGAAAGCGUGGGGAGCGAACAGG
rnacentral:rRNA from 1 species